rnacentral:rRNA from 1 species
AUUGAACGCUGGCGGCAGGCCUAACACAUGCAAGUCGAACGAGUGGCGGACGGGUGAGUAGUGUCUGGGAAACUGCCCGAUGGAGGGGGAUAACUACUGGAAACGGUAGCUAAUACCGCAAACCAUCGGAUGUGACCAGAUGGGAUUAGCCAGGAGGUGGGGUAAUGGCUCACCUAGGUGACGAUCCCUAGCUGGUCUGAGAGGAUGACCAGCCACACUGUAACUGAGACACGGUCCCGACUCAUACGGGAGGCAGCAGUGGGGAAUAUUGCACAAUGGGCGCAAGCCUGCUGCAGCCAUGCCGCGUGUAUGAAGAAGGCCUUCGGGUUGUAAAGUACUUUCAGAGAGGAGGCGUUACUCGCAGAAGAAGCACCGGCUAACUCCGUGCCAGCAGCCGCGGUAAUAC